rnacentral:rRNA from 1 species
AUUGAACGCUGGCGGCAGGCCUAACACAUGCAAGUCGAGCGAGCGGCGGACGGGUGAGUAAUGUCUGGGAAACUGCCUGAUGGAGGGGGCUAACUACUGGAAACGGUAGCUAAUACCGCAUACCAUCGGAUGUGCCCAGAUGGGAUUAGCUAGUAGGUGGGGUAACGGGUCCCCUAGGCGACGAUCCCUAGCUGGUCUGAGAGGAUGACCAGCCACACUGGAACUGAGACACGGCCCAGACGCCUACGGGACGCAGCAGUGUGGAAUAUUGCAGAAGGGUCGCAAGCCGGAUGCAGCCAUGCCGCGUGUGGGAAGAAGGCCGUCGGGUCGUAAAGUACUGUCAGCGGGGAGGCGUUACCCGCAGAAGAAGCACCGGCUAACUCCGUGCCAGCAGCCGCGGUAAUAC